rnacentral:rRNA from 1 species
AACGAACGCUGGCGGCAUGCCUAACACAUGCAAGUCGAACGAGACCUUCGGGUCUAGUGGCGCACGGGUGCGUAACGCGUGGGAACCUGCCCUUAGGUUCGGAAUAACUCCCCGAAAGGGGUGCUAAUACCGGAUAAUGUCUUCGGACCAAAGAUUUAUCGCCUUUGGAUGGGCCCGCGUUGGAUUAGCUAGUUGGUAGGGUAAAAGCCUACCAAGGCGACGAUCCAUAGCUGGUCUGAGAGGAUGAUCAGCCACACUGGGACUGAGACACGGCCCAGACUCCUACGCGAGGCAGCAGAGGGGAAUAUUGGACAAUGGGCGAAAGCCUGAUCCAGCAAUGCCGCGUGAGUGAUGAAGGCCUUAGGGUUGUAAAGCUCUUUUACCCGGGAUGAUAAUGACAGUACCGGGAGAAUAAGCUCCGGCUAACUCCGUG